rnacentral:ncRNA from 2 species
AACCUCCGCGCUGCUUCAGGUGCCCCCUGGCGAAAAGCCAGUUGGGUGAAACAGGGAAGCCGGUCCAUUCUCACGAAAAUUCCGGCGCUGCCCCCGCAACGGUAGGCGAGACAAGAAACCGCUCACAGCCACUGUGCCACAGGCAUGGGAAGGCGUGGUUUCGGGAUGCUUCAUGCGUCCGCUCGCAAGCCCGGAGACCGGCCUGUCGCAUUCCACGGCA